AACCGACGGGCGAUGGACGCGAAUUUCCACUCGAGGGCCAGUGAAAUGAAUCGGCCCGCCAUACCAUCGACCCAAAUGUGCGGCCGCUCCUCCUGUGCACCUGGAGAACAAACCGCACUACAGGAUACACACUGCACAGAUCAUGGACACUUCAUGCUGGAUGGGACAAGAACACCGAGCCAAACAUCAGCUUUGUCCGGACCACCCACGACCCAACUCCAGUGAGAGAAAACUGAGGCACCUGGAGGAACCUCACAUGGACAUGGGGAGAACAUGCCAACUCCAUGCUGGGAGCAGCUGGGAUGUCAACCCUAGUCUCUCUGUGUUGCAAGGCAGCAGCGAUACCAUUUCCCUGCCAUGCUCAGCAUUUCUUAUGAUGAGAUUACAAAUAAAACAGGAAAAAAA